GGCCUGAAGAGAUAUAAGGAGGGGGAUAUCCGGAGUCGCCCCACAAUGCUCCCCCCGCGGGCUCCUCCGACCCGGAGCCCUCUUGGGGCGGAUCUGGGGGCGGAGGCGGGCCACGAUAGGCUUGAAGGGAGGGAUAUAGGGGCGGAAACUUCCGCGAGGGUGGGGCUGUCCUAGAGGCGGUGGCGGAAAGCAAGGAAGCAGGGGUUCGGCGAGGCCCUGCCCUACAGGGCUUGGCAGGGGCCCCUGAGCAGCGUCCUUCACUGGAUCCCCGUUCUCUGGCCGCACGUUGGGCGCCACUUGUCCCGGCCCGCGGGAUCUUCUCCAUCCACCUAAAUCCUCAGAGCCCUGCAGUGACCUCCCCACUGGGCCAGGUGAUGUGGUGAAAGAGUGCAUGUAGAGAAAGCACCACUGUGAUCUACAGCUUCAGCCCAGAAGCCACAUGCAUCACCGACAUCUACUGGUAAGAAGUCAUCUGGCCAUGCCUGGCUGACAGCAAUAAGUCUGCAAAAUAGAUAACAUGGAUUCUGCUGAACACUGUGAAUACUAUGCAUAUAAAUGGCUUUUUGAGUUGAGUGGAAGCAAACAGACAAAGUCAAGCUCUGGG
rnacentral:lncRNA from 1 species